GUGGUCCCGCCCCCUCUUCCGCCCCCUCUCCCGCGCCGCCCGUCUACCUGCAGGUGACUGCGCCGCCGCUGCCGCGCUCCCAGGCACGCUGACCGUCGCGCUCCACCUGCUUGUAGACCGCGCGCUCCGGCCGCUGCACUCCCCUGCUCGCGGGCUGCGAGCUCCACCGGCCGCCGCGCCUUCGAGCUUCGCUGGCCGCGAGCUCCGAUCCGGUGGCAGCCGCUCCGAUCCGGCUGCCGCCGCGCCUCCCUGCUCACCGGCAGCGAGCUCCGGCGGCCGCCGCGCCUCCCUGCUCCCCGGACAGGAGCUCCGCUGGCCGCAUGCUCCGCCGGCCGCGCGCGCCUCCCUGCUCCCGGUUCUGAGCUUCGCUGGUCGCUACGCCUCCCUGCUCGCCUGCCACGAGCUUCGCCGGCCGCAAGCGCCUCCCUGCUCGCUGGCCGCGAGCUCCUUUGCUCGCCGGCGUACAGCUUGUGCGCGCUGGCCGUGAGCCGGAGUCCAAGGCCUCGGGCGCGCCAUCCUUGAGCUCGGGCUCGCCGGCGUUGCACGCCGUGAAUGGGAGGAGGGAGAGAGGAUGAAAGGAUAAGAGACGAGAGGAUAGGAUAGGAGAGAGGAUGACGUGGAACUGAUUUUGAAUGUAGCUAUCGUAUUUAGCUAAUCUCUUGAAUUAUAUCAAAGAAUUAGAUAGUUUUCUAUUUUUAAUCUCUAAAUUUAACUAACAUAAUACAUAAACUCUUCGAGAUGCUCUUAUUUUGUAUUCUGUAGCCGAACCUCGUGGGACUCGAGUCUCCCGGAUCGAACCAACCUGCGCCCGCCGGCGCCCGAGUACUCGACGAUGGUCCCGCUCCCGCACAGCCAGCUCGCGCUCCCAAGCCGCGGGUCGGCUCAGCUCCAACCGUCUCGACGCCAAGAGUCCACCAGCUCGAGCCGUGCGGCGCCCCGAAAUCACGCUUCAUCGUUGACCUCAGGGCCCCCCCUCCACAUCGCCUGCUUCGCGCGCCGCCGCUGGAGACGAUCCCGUCCGCGGCGAUCUGUCCGAACUGCCGCCACUCGUUUAUUGGUUGCAAGACUUCUACAAUCUAUGGCCUCCCGCUUCCACAUCGUUCCAUGGAGCUCGGCAUCCUGGCGUGGGCACCGGAGAUGCAGAUCUUAGCGGUGGUGCAGAUCUAGCAUUGGUUCCCAGCAAGCAGCGAGCGCCCUCAAGAGUUUCCACGGCGUGAGUUGCCAGGCAUGGCUACUGGCUUACUGCUACGGGAAGACAUACGAGCGGGACGGCGGCGCACCCGGGGACGCAGGCAUCCUCACCGCGGCUGCACGUCGCCCAGGCACGAUUAACUAUGGGUGGUGUUGAUGCAUUUUCUGUGUUUACGUAAUUGCUCAAGAGAAGCUGAUGAAUGCGCAGCUCAUUUCUCUGUGCAGUUACAGGUUUCUUCCUGCAGAUUCAGGUUGGAUCCCAUCAUUCAUUGAAUUAGAUUGUUCUCUUUACUGUACAUACGUUUGUUCAGUGUUUUUCCGUUGUUCUGAUUACCCUCAAGGAAUUGGUUCUUGUUCUAGCCAUAUCAUCUGAAUUUCAUUUUGACACCUGGCUGCAUUGACUUAUUUGAUUCUACAGAUUUCAGGUACUAGCUGGUUUCAUGUUGGUAGUGGUUUAAUCAUGCUUUUAAAAUUACGUGAAAGUGAAACCAGAUCUUUUAUUGAUAUCAUAACAUAGAUCACUUUUCUAGUAAACUCAUAUGUUAAUCAUACCUAAUUCUGGUAAUCCAUGCAUGGAUUCUCUUUUUUCCUUGCACAGUCUGAGCUACGAUUUUGGGUGCAAUCCUAUUAAUGUAAAAUGAAUUUACCAAAAUUAUUUUGGAUUUCAUGUGUUUUUUCCCAAGUUGUUCCGUAGUAUCUUUGAUCCUAAAUUUCCAGUAGAGACAAGAUCCCGAGGUGAGCAGCUGCACACAGAUGCAUCCAGCCAUCAACCCUGAGGUUGAUUCCUCUAUUUUAUGUUUCUUGAUUGAUCCUGCACCAAUUUUCAGCUUAAUUCCAAAUAUCUGACUAGUGAUUAUUCCAUUGCAUCAUCCGGAUUUAGGUAGCUGUAGCCUGUAGGUUCAGUUCAUGGUUUCAUCGAUUUAGUUAAUAGUGCCAAACCAAAAUUCAAUUAAUUGCACCCUAUCAUUAAAAGUGUCAUUGUGGUAACUUGAUGAAGCCAUUGUGCUAAUUAUCUGAAAUUAUCCUAUAUCACAUAUAAGGGGGCAAUUAUUCUAGACAUUUUAAAAAGAUUACCAUAAAUCACAUAUAGUGGGCACCAAUGGCUGAUCACCAUACAUGCUGACUUGUAUCUGGUAAACUGUUAUCAUUUUCUAAAUACAUAUAUGCCUUAUGAUACAUUACUCCAGGUACUAUUUUCAUAACUCUGGUAUAUUCAAUUCUAGUCGAUUGGUCAUCAUUUUUAUAGUAAAUUGAUUAUGCCAUUUUCAUAAAUUUAUAAUACCUUUGUAGUAAAAUAACCCACCAUUCUGGUAUGUUAGAUUCUAGUAAAUUAGGCAUAAUUUGAUAUAAGUUCUAGUACAUUACAUUGUCGUAUAUUGGAUUACUGCAUGUGGUAAGUUUGCUCAUACAUAUGACUUGUCUAUGCACUAGUGAAGGGUCAGUUCGAUUCUGUUUUGUUGGCAGAUGAAAAUUACUGCUUCAUUUGUUGGCAACUAGGUAUAUGAGAGGAAUGCAAAUCUGUGUGAUGUUUUCUACUUUAUAUGUCCCUUUUUUCAAUCAUAUGUAUCACGACAUGUAUAUCUGAUAUGUAAAGAACUAAUAUAGUUGUGAAACUUGAUUCACUGCUUACAUUACCUGGUUUUUUAGAUGCAGAAAGCUAGUUUGCUUCUACUACUGUAGGCUGUUAGUACACUCUGAUCAUUGUGUCCAGUAGAAAAAAAAAAGACAAUGCUUAGACAGGAGUGCUUCUCUCAGUGUUACAGAAAGCGAACUGCCGAGAAAAGGAUACACCGGUUGAGUACUGGACUAAGAGCAUCAUUGGCUGAUCUAUGAAAAAUGACAUAGACCAGGUCUUGCAGGUGGUGUGUCGCUCAGCAUCGGUGGCGGCCAGUGCCAGUUAGCUACUGCAGUGGAGACUAAAAUCAGUUGAGCAUGGGAUCGGAGCUGCUCAUUCUUACCACCCACUAAACACGAUCAAGAUGCUUCCUGCUGUACUUAGGCACACUGGACACUGGAAUACUCUCUGCUCAGGAGCGCUCUUGUUUGGUGCAGAAGUAAAUACAUAAACCUAUGUUUUAUUUGUUGUACCUUUGAUUGAUGAACAUAUGUAUCAAUAUAUUCUGUACAACUCAAUCUAGGUGGCAUAUGCUAAAACUCAGUUUGAGACUUGUGCUAUGCCCCCACCAUUUUCGUAACUUAUUGUACAAAUAUGGUACAGAGACAACUGAAAGUAUCGUAUUACGGGAUAUCUCAUUUUAAUAAACUAUCAUUUGUAGUAA